UGUCCUUCCUCCUUCCUUCCCAGCACAGAGCUGCUGAGAAUACACAAGUGGUGCAUCUGUGCCCAGCUCCACAAUCUUCCCCAAAUCUGAUUUCACAGCCUGAAAAGCUAUUUUACAGAAUGAAGAUAUUGGACCAACUAACAAUGAAGAAAUCUCUUGAAAGGAUU
rnacentral:lncRNA from 1 species